rnacentral:rRNA from 1 species
GUGGGGAAUCUUCCGCAAUGGACGAAAGUCUGACGGAGCAACGCCGCGUGAGUGAUGAAGGUCUUCGGAUUGUAAAGCUCUGUUAAUCGGGACGAAAGAGCCUAGUGUGAAUAAUGCUAGGAAGUGACGGUACCGGAAUAGAAAGCCACGGCUAACUACGUGCCAGCAGCCGCGGUAAUACGUAGGUGGCAAGCGUUGUCCGGAAUUAUUGGGCGUAAAGCGCGCGCAGGCGGAUCUGCCAGUCUGUCUUAAAAGUUCGGGGCUUAACCCCGUGAUGGGAUGGAAACUACAGAUCUAGAGUAUCGGAGAGGAAAGUGGAAUUCCUAGUGUAGCGGUGAAAUGCGUAGAUAUUAGGAAGAACACCAGUGGCGAAGGCGACUUUCUGGACGGUGUCUGACACUGAGGCGCGAAAGCCAGGGGAGCGAACGGGAUUAGAAACCCGGGUAGUCC